GAGGGAGCAGGUCUGUGAAGUCAGUAUAGCAUUUUGACCUGGGAGGCCCAGAGGCCCUCUCAGGGUGCCUAUGGGGUAAAAACUUAUUAUCAUGACACUAAGAUAUUAUUUGGCCUUUUUUUUUUUAAUCAUUCUCAAGUAGAUUUUCUAACUGUGUAGCAAUGAAUGGAAAGCAGAUGCCCAUGAGAAGCUAGAGGUUCUUAGGAGCCAUGUCAGUUUCUAGUGCAUUCAUGAAUGAUAAUAAAGAUGACUAUGUACAAAAAAGCAAUGCCUGCUUAAUUUGGAAAAUAUAGAAAAGUAUAAGACAAAUAUAGAAAUCAUCCUAGCUUUAUUAUUAACAUUUUGGAAUAUUCCCCAUCAGCAUUUUAUGUAGCUUUUUUGUUUUUGUUUUUGUUCUUGUUUGUUUUUUGCUUUUGAGGGCCACACCCAGGGCAUAUGGAGUGGCCCCAGAAAAGGCAAAAAGACAAUAAAUAAAUUAAUUAAUUAAUUAAAUAAAAUAAAACUCAUUUGGCUUCUUUUAAUCACUUUUCCUAUCCUGGCUAUUUUGAUAGGUUAAAAAAAAAAAAAAAAAAAAAAAAACAAUGUAUUAGUCUGCUUGAGC